CGGGUCUAUGUUCUAGUGGUUAGGUGCUCACGUGCGAGACUGAUAGGUCCUGGGUUCGGAUCUCGUGAGGC
rnacentral:tRNA from 1 species